ensembl:snoRNA Small nucleolar RNA SNORA17
GGGGCCUCCAGAAAUGUUGCAGAAACCAGUAAUUGAGAAACCAAGCACCACGCUCGGAGAGUUGGAGAACUCAGGUCUAUUAUGCUGGCAGGCCCAGAGGAGUUAAUCGUCUAAGCUCUGAGCCCUGAACAAAGGGGUUACAGAGUUUUUAUAGACAGACAGC